GGUCCGUUGGUCAAGGGGUUAAGACACCGCCUUUUCACGGCGGUAACACGGGUUCGAAUCCCGUACGGCCUA
rnacentral:tRNA from 1 species